CCCGGUCUCCGGUAGUGGCCUUCGGGAGCACGCGCGAGAUCCUCGCCCGACGCCCCCGCGGACCUCGAUCGAAGACCGGC
rfam:Friedmanniella sagamiharensis strain DSM 21743 genome assembly, chromosome: I